rnacentral:rRNA from 1 species
CGCGCGAUUUAAACUUCGCGGGGUCGCGGCUUUCGGGUCGCGGUUUCGCGGGGGCGCGCGUUCGUCUCGUUUUUUGCGUCGCUAAACGGCGUCGGAGGGCGUCUCUCGUCGGAGGCGAAAUCGUUUUUCGACGGGUUGCGCCCUUUUUCGUCGGAUUGCAAGAUUUUACUUUGAAUAAAUUAGAGCGUUCAAAGCAGGCGAAAUCGUCUUGAAUACGUUAGCAUGGGAUAAUAGAGUAGGACCGUAAGAAUUUUUUUCGGUUUAACGUUUACUGGUUUCUAAAGCCGAGGUAAUGAUUAAUAGGGACAGAUGGGGUCGCUCGUACUCGGCGGUCAGAGGUGAAAUUCUAAGACCCGCCGAAGACGAACAAGUGCGAAGGCAUUCGACAAGGAUGUUUUCUUUAAUCAAGAACGAAAGUUAUGGGAUCGAAGAUGAUCAGAUACCGUCGUAGUCAUAACCGUAAACUAUGUUGACUCGGGAUCCGAAGAAGUUACAUGGAUGACUCUUCGGGCACCGUGUGCGAAAGCACAAGUAUUCGAACUCCGGGGGGAGUAUGGUCGCAAGGCUGAAACUUAAAGGAAUUGACGGAAGGGCACCACCAGGUGUGGAAUCUGCGGCUUAAUUUGACUCAACACGGGGAAACUUACCCAGUCCGGACGCUACGAGGAUUGACAGAUUGAUAGUUCUUUCUUGAUUUUGUGGAAGCCGGUGCAUGGCCGUUUUUAGUUGGUGGAGUGAUUUGUCUGGUUAAGUCCGAUAACGAACGAGACCUAAUUUUGUUAAAUAGUACUGCCAACAAGGGGGUCGCCGGUCAUUUCGGUCGCGGGUUUUCGCCCGCGCUCGUGCGAUCGGGGCCUCCGCUCGUUUGUUGGUAGCUAGAUUUACUUCUUAGAGAGACUCUUGGUCGAUAACAGCAGCCAAUGGAAGCUUUAGGCAAAAACAGGUCUGUGAUGCCGCUAGAUGUCUGGGGCUGCACGCGCGUUACACUGACGUGUUCAACGAGUAUUUUAGAAUUACCUGGCCCGAGGGGGUUUCCGGCAAUCUCUAAAAGCACGUCGUGAUGGGGAUCGUGCCUUGUAACUAUUGCACGUGAACGAGGAAUACCUAGUAAGGGCAAGUCAUCAACUUGCCCUGACUACGUCCCUGCCCUUUGUACACACCGCCCGUCGCUUCUACCGAUCGAACUACUCGAUGAGGACUCGGGAUGCGGAGCGAUGUCUCGGUUCUGCCGAGCGCGUUUCGCAGAACCUGU